rnacentral:rRNA from 1 species
GUAUCUGGCGUACUUAACCUAAUUUCCGCAGUCUUAGGCUUCGGUGGCAUUUAUCACACACUUCUGGGACCCGAGACUCUUGAGGAAUCUUUUCCAUUCUUUGGUUAUGUCUAGAAAGAUAGAAAUAAAAUUACUACAAUUUUGGGUAUCCACUUAAUUUCGUUAGGUCUAUGUGAUUUUCUUCUAGCACUCAAGGCUCUUUAUUUUGGCGGUGUAUAGGAUACAUGGGCCUUGGGUGUGGGGGGUGUAAGAAAAAUUACCAAUUUGACCCUUAGUCCCAUUCUUAUAUUUGGAUAUUUACUACAAUCUCUGUUUGGGGGAGAAGGCGAGUAG